AUUGAACGCUGGCGGAAUGCUUUACACAUGCAAGUCGAACGGCAGCACGGACUUCGGUCUGGUGGCGAGUGGCGAACGGGUGAGCAAUGUAUCGGAACGUGCCCAGUCGUGGGGGAUAACGUAGUGAAAAUUACGCUAAUACCGCAUACGAUCUAUGGAUGAAAGCGGGGGAUCGCAAGACCUCGCGCGAUUGGAGCGGCCGAUAUCAGAUUAGGUAGUUGGUGGGGUAAAGGCCCACCAAGCUAACGAUCUGUAGCUGGUCUGAGAGGACGACCAGCCACACUGUAACUGAGACACGGUCCAGACUCCUACGGGAGGCAGCAGUGGGGAAUUUUGGACAAUGGGCGAAAGCCUGAUCCAGCCAUGCCGCGUGCAGGAUGAAGGCCCUCGGGUUGUAAACUGCUUUUGUACAGAACGAAAAGGUUUCUACUAAUACUAGGAGCUCAUGACGGUACUGUAAGAAUAAGCACCGGCUAACUACGUGCCAGCCGCCGCAGUAA
rnacentral:rRNA from 1 species